AUUGAACGCUGGCGGCAGGCCUAACACAUGCAAGUCGAACGAGUGGCGGACGGGUGAGUAAUGUCUGGGAAACUGCCUGAUGGAGGGGGAUAACUACUGGAAACGGUCGCUAAUACCGCAUACCAUCGGAUGUGCCCAGGUGGGAUUAGCUAGUAGGUGGGGUAAAGGCUCACCUAGGCGACUAUCCCUAGCUGGUCUGAGAGGAUGACCAGCCACACUGGAACUGAGACACGGUCCAGACUCCUACGGGAGGCAGCAGUGGGGAAUAUGGCACAAUGGGCGAAAGCCUGAUGCAGCCAUGCCGCGUGUGUGAAGAAGGUCUUCGGGUUGUAAAGUACUGUCAGCGGGGAGGCGUUACCCGCAGAAGAAGCACCGGCUAACUCCGUGCCAGCAGCCGCGGUAAUAC
rnacentral:rRNA from 1 species